GCCCAACAUUAUAACAAAAGAUUGUAACAAGGACUGUGGGAGUUAUGAACCCCGAACUGUGCACAAAAACCAAUGCAUGUCAUAAUACCACAGUGCACCCAACAGAAAUGUCUAGAAAAUUGUUUUUAACUAUGGAGUGGUUUCCCAAGAGUUGGGCAGAAAUGGGACUUAGAACACAGUAGGGACAGAAGUCUUUCAGUAAUUCAAAGCUAAUAUGGCCACAGGUCCCAGCUCUGAAUCAGCCCUGAAUACAACACAUUUUACAUUCAUCUAGACCAUGUAGAUUUUAUUGUGGUUAGUACAAUGUAAGACCUGAUUUCACAAUAGCUUGUUGACAUUAUAUAUUUUGUCAUACAAUGGAUAAUAUGACAUUAGUUAUGUUAAAAAGGCAAGAUCCACUGAUGAAUGCUAAAAGAGUGAAUGAAAUGUUAAGGAGCAAUAGAACAUUUGGAUAGCCUCAAAGCAUUUUCUUCAAAAUAUUAAUUACCAUGGUAGUUUUAACGGAUGUCCACAAAUUCUUUGAUACACCUCCUCCGGGAAUUGGGACUUAAUUCUUUUCCCCUUUGGUGUGGACUGGACUUAGUGACUUGCUUCUGGAAUAUGGAAAGAGGAAAAAUGGCAACUUCACAAUGGAGAAACUUGGCAGACAUAACCUUAACCAAGUGAUUAAGGUUAACAUCACCAGGAACAAGUUACGUUGAUCUCAUAUAUCCCCAGAUAUGAUUCAAGGUGAGGGGCGCUUCCCCUCUGUGGCAUUCCCCAAAAUCCAUGACUCCAGUCUAGUGAGAAACAUCAGACAAAGCCUCAGGGACAUUCUACAAAAUUCCCAACCGGUACUCUUCAAAAGUGCCAAUGGGACUGGGCGCGGUGGCUCACACCUGUAACCCCAGCACUUUGCGAGGCUAAGAUAGUAGAUCACUUGAGGUCAGGUGUUUGAGACCAGCCUGGCCAACAUGGUGAAACUCCAUCUCUACUAAAAGUACAAAAAUUAGGUGGGCGUGGUGGCACGUGCCUGUAAUUUAAAAAAAAAAAA
rnacentral:lncRNA from 1 species